GAUGAGCGCUAGCGGCAGGCUUAAUACAUGCAAGUCGAGGGGCAGCGCAGUGUAGCAAUACAUGGGCGGCGACCGGCAAACGGGUGCGGAACACGUACACAACCUUCCUUUCAGCGAGGAAUAGCCCAGAGAAAUUUGGAUUAAUACCUCAUAGUAUAUCGGUCAGGCAUCUGAUUGUUAUUAAAGAUUUAUCACUGAAA
rnacentral:rRNA from 1 species